rnacentral:lncRNA from 1 species
CUCUGUUCACGGAAAGGGCCUGGGAGCUGCAACACCUCAACAGCAACAAGCACACCUGCU